CUAUCACAUUUCACUUUACUUCCCUUCUUUCAUGUUAUUUUCCUCCAUUUCGCCCAUUUCCAUCAUUUUCCUUCCUCUUCCUUCUCCCUCCCUCACAUUUUCCCCCUUCUCUCCCUCCUCCGCACCCGCGGAGCGGUGCGGAUCGCGGGGCCGCGGGCGGGAGGAGCCGUCGGGGCCGCCCGUCUGUCUGUGUGGGCGGGGGCGGCCCCGCAAAGUGAAGGUCAAAGUGAAGGCUCCGUCCGCCCCUCCGCGCCGCUCCGCCGCAACGCCACGGCCGCCUCAGAGCCGCUCUUUGCUUCGGACCCCCCCACAGCCGCCCCCUCCCCUCCAUAUCCACCACGGGGGGAGGAGGGGGAGCAGAGAGCAAGAUGCAAACGCGUCUGCCGUGGAGGAAAUUAAACGUCAUAAAGAAAAGCCCAAUUAAGGUUUAAUGUCUGAACAUGACCAUUUCCUCCAGAAAACAAUGAAGUUCGCUCGGGAGAGGGAUAGAGGGGUGAAGCAACCCCCCCCCUCUCCAAUCUAGAACCCCCAUCCCGGUCCUGUGAGGGGCCCCCGCAUCCCAAAAACCCCGCGAGGAGGAAGGGGGUGUGAGUGUGAGUGCGUGUGUGUGAGUGUGUGAGUGUGUUUGUGGUGUCCGCUCUUUGUCUGCUCUCUCGGGGAGAAAAGAGUGCGACGCAGUCCCCUAUUUGCGACCGCUGAAGGAGCGCUGAGCUGGG
ensembl:lncRNA